rnacentral:rRNA from 1 species
UGGGGAAUAUUGGACAAUGGGCGCAAGCCUGAUCCAGCCAUGCCGCGUGGGGGAAGAAGGCCUUCGGGUUGUAAACUCCUUUUAUAGGGGAAUGGUACCUUAUGAAUAAGCCACGGCUAACUCUGUGCCAGCAGCCGCGGUAAGACAGAGGUGGCGAGCGUUGUUCGGAAUUACUGGGCUUAAAGGGCGCUAGGUGGUGAUACAAGUCUGAGUGGAAUUCUGCAGCUUAACUGUAGGACUGCCUUAGAAACUGUAUUACUUGAGUCGGACAGGGGAAGGCGGAAUUCCUGGUGUAGCGGUGAAAUGCGUAGAUAUCAGGAGGAAGGCCUGUGGCGAAGGCGGCCUUCUGGGGCUUACUGACACUGAGGCGCGAAAGCGUGGGGAGCAAAC